AAAAGAAAAGUUAUGCUUAGUACACAAUAUUUUUUGGCAACUCUUUUGUCUUUACUUCAACAAAUAUUCUGGGAAUCAAACAGAUAAAUGCUUAUCCAAUGCAAGAAAUAAUAUAAAGAAAUAAAGGUCCAAGUGGUAGUUGGUAUUUAUACUAAAAAAGUAGUUCAAGCAUGGUUAAUUUUCCUUGCUUAGUGAAAUACGUGGUAGGGUAAAUAUUAGAACAUAUAUGGCCAUUUUUCUCCGCUCAUUUACUCUCAUUGGUUUCAAGUCACAUCCAAGAAAAAGUAUAUGGCUAAAAUAGUGUCAUACUCAUAUAUAGUAGUUGUUUUUCUAUCCUUGUCCUUUUCGUUAAUCAACUAUCUUCCACACCAAUUUAAUUUUUGAUGCAUUAAUUCUUGAAACCACUAAAAGAAAACAAUGAUAGUUAUCUUCUCAAAAAUCAUGUAACACAUCUUUACUCCCACAAAAAUGGAUAAUUUCUAUACACAACCAGCAACUAUAGUACUAGCUAUACUUUUAGUGCUUCUAUACAACAUAUGGAGGGUAAAAAAACCUAGUAACAAAUUCAAGGGUAUGAAACCACCAGAACCAUCAUAUGCCUUACCUUUAAUAGGUCACCUCCAUCUACUAGGAAACCAAAUCCCUCUUGCAAGAAUCUUUGCUUCAUUUUCAGACAAAUAUGGUCCUAUCUUCCAAAUCCAUUUUGGAGCAUACCCUGCACUUAUUAUUUCCAACAAAGAAGCAAUCAAAGAAUGUUUCACUACAAAUGACAAAAUCUUAGCCUCAAGACCAAAGUCAAGUCAUGGAAUUCACCUAGGUUAUAACUAUGCUGGCUUUGGUUUUGCACCUUAUGGCCCAUAUUGGACCAAGCUAAGAAAAUUAACCAUGCUUGAACUACUUUCGUCUCGUCGCCUUGAAUCGUUGAGACAUGUUUAUGAAUCGGAGAUCGAUACUUUGAUAA
rnacentral:lncRNA from 1 species